rnacentral:rRNA from 1 species
GAUGAACGCUGGCGGCGUGCCUAAUACAUGCAAGUCGAGCGAACAGAUGAGGAGCUUGCUCCUCUGACGUUAGCGGCGGACGGGUGAGUAACACGUGGAUAUCCUACCUAUAAGACUGGGAUAACUUCGGGAAACCGGAGCUAAUACCGGAUAAUAUAUUGAACCGCAUGGUUCAAUAGUGAAAGACGGUUUUGCUGUCACUUAUAGAUGGAUCCGCGCCGCAUUAGCUAGUUGGUAAGGUAACGGCUUACCAAGGCGACGAUGCGUAGCCGACCUGAGAGGGUGAUCGGCCACACUGGAACUGAGACACGGUCCAGACUCCUACGGGAGGCAGCAGUAGGGAAUCUUCCGCAAUGGGCGAAAGCCUGACGGAGCAACGCCGCGUGAGUGAUGAAGGUCUUCGGAUCGUAAAACUCUGUUAUUAGGGAAGAACAAAUGUGUAAGUAACUAUGCACGUCUUGACGGUACCUAAUCAGAAAGCCACGGCUAACUACGUG